rnacentral:rRNA from 1 species
UGGAUCCAGACUUUGAUCAUGGCUCAGGACGAACGCUGGCGGCGUGCUUAACACAUGCAAGUCGAACGGAGAACUUAUUUCGGUAAGUUCUUAGUGGCGAACGGGUGAGUAACGCGUGGGCAACCUGCCCUCCAGUUGGGGACAACAUUCCGAAAGGGAUGCUAAUACCGAAUGUGCUCCCUCCUCCGCAUGGAGGAGGGAGGAAAGAUGGCCUCUGCUUGCAAGCUAUCGCUGGAAGAUGGGCCCGCGUCUGAUUAGCUAGUUGGUGGGGUAACGGCUCACCAAGGCGAUGAUCAGUAGCCGGUCUGAGAGGAUGAACGGCCACAUUGGGACUGAGACACGGCCCAAACUCCUACGGGAGGCAGCAGUGGGGAAUCUUCCGCAAUGGACGAAAGUCUGACGGAGCAACGCCGCGUGAGUGAUGAAGGUCUUCGGAUUGUAAAACUCUGUUGUUAGGGACGAAAGCACCGUGUUCGAACAGGUCAUGGUGUUGACGGUACCUAACGAGGAAGCCACGGCUAACUACGUGCCAGCAGCCGCGGUAAUACGUAGGUGGCAAGCGUUGUCCGGAAUUAUUGGGCGUAAAGAGCAUGUAGGCGGGCUUUUAAGUCUGACGUGAAAAUGCGGGGCUUAACCCCGUAUGGCGUUGGAUACUGGAAGUCUUGAGUGCAGGAGAGGAAAGGGGAAUUCCCAGUGUAGCGGUGAAAUGCGUAGAUAUUGGGAGGAACACCAGUGGCGAAGGCGCCUUUCUGGACUGUGUCUGACGCUGAGAUGCGAAAGCCAGGGUAGCAAACGGGAUUAGAUACCCCGGUAGUCCUGGCCGUAAACGAUGGAUACUAGGUGUAGGAGGUAUCGACCCCUUCUGUGCCGGAGUUAACGCAAUAAGUAUCCCGCCUGGGGACUACGAUCGCAAGAUUGCAACUCAAAGGAAUUGACGGA